GCUAUGAGCAUUCUGAGGCCUUGAGGAAAACAGUCAACUGGCUGCAUACAGCCGCACUUGAGGCAGGGAAUGGGGAGUGAAGAAUUUGCCAAACAGGUUUUCUGUGCCCUGGACCCAGGUAGAGGUGACAGAGGGAAAUCUGAAGUACCGGUUCUUGCUGAAAGGAUGAAGAAGCAUCUCCAGUUGCCCUUAAGACAUUUUUGAAAUGUACACAUCUGGGACUAAGGAAUGCAGCUGAGAGAUGAAGCCUUGCCUAGCACAUGCAAAGCCCUGAGUCUGGAUAUCCAGCACUGAAAGGAAAAGGGGUUGAAGAAGAGCCCAGUGAACCAUGUAGGCGAAGGAGGAAAACAAGGGGCAUGGAUUUUUAUAAUAGAAAAGGCCUCUUUCUAGACCUAGAAGUUAUCAUCUGUUUUUACCCAAGUGUGCUGAAACUUGGCUGUCCCAUGGCCUAGAGGGUUUUGACAUAUUUACCUAGAGAGCACUACCCAGCCUCUGGCUGAGGGUAGAACCUGGGGCCUGGAGCAUGCUAAGCAGUGCUCUAUCUCUGAGCUACAUCCCUAGCUCCCUUUCUAUUUUUACACUGGCUCCUGAGAAGUUGUCCAGCCAGGCCUUGAACUCAUCCUGUAGCCCAAAUAGGUUUCGACCCUGUGGUCUUUCUGCCUCAUUUUCCACAGUGGCUAUGGAUUGAUCAGGCCUGGUUCUUAGCACUUUCUGUCUCAGUGCUGGGAAUCUGAAGAUGAAAAUAAGCCAGAAUGGGUCCAGCCCAGAAUGGAACCGCUUCCAUUUUCUCCUAGGUGUCCUAGUUUCCUGAUGCAGUUAGCCCCCAAAGCCUUAAGAGGCAGCAGUGCUUGUUCAAGACUCCCUGCAGCAGCAUGCCUGACUCCGAGGCAAUCUGUUUCUUCUCUUGAGCUCUGGCUUCUCACCUGUCAAAUGUCCAUCUUAAAUCACACUCUUCCUGCAGAGCCUCCUUGUAAGAUCCCUUCUGUGAUGCAGGGCUGUAAAAGAGGCCAGUCCUGACCCCGAUCUCUUGCAGCACUGAACCCUUCCAGGAGCAAGAGGAAAGCCAAGCCUAAUGCUACAUACACCCUGUCCACACUCUUUGUCUGGUCCUUGGAAGGUUUCCUCUGGGUGACCAGCCUAGCACCUCUGUGUUGGAGUGACAAUCUAAGCAGUAACUGUCUCUCAGCCCUGGAGUCAGAGCAAGACAAUAGCAUAGUUGGGUCCUUCCUUCUGGGCUCUCCUAGGGAGAUGAUUUCCCCUCCCGGAUUCCUGGUGUGUGUGUGUGUGUGUGUGUGUGUGUGUGUGUGUGUGUGUUGGGGAAUGACUAUGAAGACUCAAAGCUGUUAGAGAUUUAUUUGGUGCCUUUACUUUUUUUGUUGUUGUUUUGGCCAAUUUGGAAAGAAAGAGGCAAUGACUCCUCUUUAUAAAACAAAACUAGGCAGGAAGUGUGCAGGGCCUGAGUGGCAGGGACUAAGGGUGUAAUUACAAGUUUUGUUCAGCAUUUUCAUGUAAUUAAGUCCAAAGGAAAUCGAGCUGCCUGUAUGUUGGGGCUGGAAGGCAAUCGGUGAGGAAUGGAUCUGCUUUUCAGCGAAGAGGCGGACUUCUCACCUUUCUUCUUAUUUUUAUAUUCGUUUUCCAAAAGGUAGCCUAUCAUUCAUCUUUUAUUCGGUGCCAUUGCGCUCUCCUUGGUGACAUUUCCCAGCCGUGCAAAGCCUUCUAGACACUGAUUUGCCUUUCCGCCCACUCUCUCCCCCUUCCCACUUUUACAUAUUGCCGAUUUCUGCCUGGUUGCUCACACAGUAUUCCCGCUGCAACAUUCAUAGCCAGCUUUCUUGCCUCCGGAGUUUCGAUCUCAGCGACUUCCGACUCCGCCAAGCCAAAUAGUCUCUCCUUUUGUUUUGGCCAGAGUCUGGUUUUCCCCGUUAUGCUUUAUAGUAAGUUCUACAGCGGCUGCCCCACCUCGGCUUUCUUUAAC
ensembl:lncRNA